rnacentral:rRNA from 1 species
GGGUUGUGAGGUUAAGCGACUAAGCGUACACGGUGGAUGCCCUGGCAGUCAGAGGCGAUGAAGGACGUGCUAAUCUGCGAUAAGCGUCGGUAAGGUGAUAUGAACCGUUAUAACCGGCGAUUUCCGAAUGGGGAAACCCAGUGUGUUUCGACACACUAUCAUUAACUGAAUCCAUAGGUUAAUGAGGCGAACCGGGGGAACUGAAACAUCUAAGUACCCCGAGGAAAAGAAAUCAACCGAGAUUCCCCCAGUAGCGGCGAGCGAACGGGGAGCAGCCCAGAGCCUGAAUCAGUAUGUGUGUUAGUGGAAGCGUCUGGAAAGGCGCGCGAUACAGGGUGACAGCCCCGUACACAAAAAUGCACAUGCUGUGAGCUCGAUGAGUAGGGCGGGACACGUGGUAUCCUGUCUGAAUAUGGGGGGACCAUCCUCCAAGGCUAAAUACUCCUGACUGACCGAUAGUGAACCAGUACCGUGAGGGAAAGGCGAAAAGAACCCCGGCGAGGGGAGUGAAAAAGAACCUGAAACCGUGUACGUACAAGCAGUGGGAGCACGCUUAGGCGUGUGACUGCGUACCUUUUGUAUAAUGGGUCAGCGACUUAUAUUCUGUAGCAAGGUUAACCGAAUAGGGGAGCCGAAGGGAAACCGAGUCUUAACUGGGCGUUAAGUUGCAGGGUAUAGACCCGAAACCCGGUGAUCUAGCCAUGGGCAGGUUGAAGGUUGGGUAACACUAACUGGAGGACCGAACCGACUAAUGUUGAAAAAUUAGCGGAUGACUUGUGGCUGGGGGUGAAAGGCCAAUCAAACCGGGAGAUAGCUGGUUCUCCCCGAAAGCUAUUUAGGUAGCGCCUCGUGAAUUCAUCUCCGGGGGUAGAGCACUGUUUCGGCAAGGGGGUCAUCCCGACUUACCAACCCGAUGCAAACUGCGAAUACCGGAGAAUGUUAUCACGGGAGACACACGGCGGGUGCUAACGUCCGUCGUGAAGAGGGAAACAACCCAGACCGCCAGCUAAGGUCCCAAAGUCAUGGUUAAGUGGGAAACGAUGUGGGAAGGCCCAGACAGCCAGGAUGUUGGCUUAGAAGCAGCCAUCAUUUAAAGAAAGCGUAAUAGCUCACUGGUCGAGUCGGCCUGCGCGGAAGAUGUAACGGGGCUAAACCAUGCACCGAAGCUGCGGCAGCGACGCUGAUGCGUUGUUGGGUAGGGGAGCGUUCUGUAAGCCUGCGAAGGUGUGCUGUGAGGCAUGCUGGAGGUAUCAGAAGUGCGAAUGCUGACAUAAGUAACGAUAAAGCGGGUGAAAAGCCCGCUCGCCGGAAGACCAAGGGUUCCUGUCCAACGUUAAUCGGGGCAGGGUGAGUCGACCCCUAAGGCGAGGCCGAAAGGCGUAGUCGAUGGGAAACAGGUUAAUAUUCCUGUACUUGGUGUUACUGCGAAGGGGGGACGGAGAAGGCUAUGUUGGCCGGGCGACGGUUGUCCCGGUUUAAGCGUGUAGGCUGGUUUUC